AUGGGGUGGCGGUCACAAUAUGGGGUGGGGGUCCCACAAUAUGGGGUGGGGGUCCCACAAUAUGGGGUGGGGCUACAUGAUAUAGGGUGGGGGUCCCAGAUAUGGGGUGGGGGUCCCAAUAUGGGGUGGGGGUCCCACAAUAUGGGGUGGGGGUCCCAAUAUGGGAUGGGGGUCCCAGAUAUGGGGUGGGGGUCCCACAAUAUGGGGUGGGGGUCCCCCAAUAUGGGGUUGGGGGUCACAAUAUGGGGUUGGGGGUCCCAGAUAUGGGGUGGGGGUCCCAAUAUGGGGUGGGGGUCACCAUAUGGGGUGGGGGUCCCAAUAUGGGGUGGGGGUCCCACAAUAUGGGGUUGGGGGUCCCACUCUAUGGGGUGGGGGUCCCAGAUAUGGGGUGGGGCUCCCACAAUAUGGGGUGGGGGUCCCAGAUAUGGGGUGGGGGUCCCAAUAUGGGGUUGGGGGUCCCAGUAUGGGGUGGGGGUCCCACAAUAUGGGGUUGGGGGGACACAAUAUAGGGUUGGGGGUCCCAAUAUGGGGUGGGGGUCCCAAUAUGGGGUGGGGGUCACACAAUAUGGGGUGGGGGUCCCAAUAUGGGUUGGGGGUCCCAAUAUGGGGUGGGGGUCCCACAAUAUGGGGUGGGGGUCCCACAAUAUGGGAUGGGGGUCCCAAUAUGGGGUUGGGGGUCCCACUCUAUGGGGUGGGGGUCCCAAUCUGGGGUGGGGGUCCCAAUAUGGGGUGGGGGUCCCAAUAUGGGGUGGGGGUCCCACAAUAUGGGGUGGGGGUCCCAGAUAUGGGGUAGGGGUCCCAAUAUGGGGUGGGGGUCCCACAAUAUGGAGUGGGGGUCCCAAUAUGGGGUGGGGGUCCCAGAUAUGGGGUGGGGCUCCCACAAUAUGGGGUGGGGGUCCCAAUAUGGGGUGGGGCUCCCACAAUAUGGGGUGGGGGUCCCAAUAUGGGGUGGGGGUCCCACAAUAUGGGGUGGGGGUCCCAAUAUGGGAUGGGGGUCACAAUAUGGGGUGGGGGUCCCACAAUAUAGGGUUGGGGGUCCCACAAUAUAGGGUUGGGGGGUCCCAAUAUGGGGUGGGGGUCCCACAAUAUGGGGUGGGGGUCCCAAUAUGGGGUGGGGGUCCCACAAUAUGGGGUUGGGGGUCCCAGAUAUGGGGUGGGGGUCCCAAUAUGGGAUGGGGGUCCCACAAUAUGGGGUGGGGGUCCCAAUAUGGGGUGGGGGUCCUCAUUGACUCACCUUCUUCCUAUGGGGUGGAGGGCACAAUAUGGGGUGGGGGUCCCAGAUAUGGGGUGGGGGUCCCAGAUAUGGGGUGGGGGUCACAAUAUGGGGUGGGGGUCCCAAUAUGGGGUGGGGGUCCGCACUGA
rnacentral:lncRNA from 1 species